GUAUAAUUUACCUUUUCAUCAUUACUGUUUCAUUAGAAACACCGACGCAGCUCACACUAGUUUUUAGCUAGUUAUAUCUUUUUAUUCUAUGAAUACGUCCUUUAUUAAAAGUCAAUUCCCCCUAAAUUCCCAUGAUCUCUUAGGCCCCAUUGACAUGAAAGUAGGUUGACCCUAGUGCCAGGAACAAGUCUUUUGGUUUCUUUCUCCAGGGGAUAUCCAAACCAAGAGGUAGUCCUAGCAGUAGGGUCACCCUACCUUAUGAGAGACCAUUCACAUGAAGCUAGGAUGACCCUGGUGCUAGGGAUAACUAUUUUGUUUGUUUUCCACAGGAGACACCAAAAACAAGAGGUAGUCCUAGCAGUAGGGUCACUCUACCUUAUGUAACAUGUUAGGCUCCUCAUCGACCAUGUUGUCUGAUGAAAAGGCAAACAAGCAAAAGGGCGGAUUGAGAGGCAUGAUCUAAAAUCAAAAUGGAAAAGCAGAAAAGACCUUUACUUACUGAAUAGUAAAUGCUUAUCUAUCAUAUAAAUACAUUGGAACCCUAUCCUAUUUUAAGCGUCA